rnacentral:rRNA from 1 species
GAUGAACGCUGGCGGCAGGCCUAACACAUGCAAGUCGAACGGACCCUUCGGGGUUAGUGGCGGACGGGUGAGUAACACGUGGGAACGUGCCCUUUGGUUCGGAACAACUCAGGGAAACUUGAGCUAAUACCGAAUGUGCCCUUCGGGGGAAAGAUUUAUCGCCAUUGGAGCGGCCCGCGUCUGAUUAGCUAGUUGGUGGGGUAAUGGCCUACCAAGGCUACGAUCAGUAGCUGGUCUGAGAGGAUGAUCAGCCACAUUGGGACUGAGACACGGCCCAAACUCCUACGGGAGGCAGCAGUGGGGAAUCUUGCGCAAUGGGCGAAAGCCUGACGCAGCCAUGCCGCGUGAAUGAUGAAGGUCUUAGGAUUGUAAAAUUCUUUCACCGGGGACGAUAAUGACGGUACCCGGAGAAGAAGCCCCGGCUAACUUCGUGCCAGCCGCCGCGGUAAGAC